rnacentral:rRNA from 1 species
CGAACGAGAAAGCACUUCGGGUGUGAGUAAGUGGCGCAGGGUGAGUACACGUGGGAAUCUACCUGAGGUGGGGGACAACUCGCGAAAGUGGGGCUAAUACCGCAUAAGUCGACUUCGGUCGGGAAAGGUGGCUUCGGCUAUCGCCUUAGGAUGAGCCCGCGUCCCAUCAGCUAGUUGGUAAGGUAAUGGCUUACCAAGGCCACGACGGGUAGCUGGUCUGAGAGGAUGAUCAGUCACACUGGAACUGAGGCACGGUCCAGACUCCUACGGGAGGCAGCAGUGGGGAAUAUUGCGCAAUGGGCGAAAGCCUGACGCAGCGACGCCGCGUGAGUGAUGAAGGCCUUCGGGUCGUAAAGCUCUGUUGGAGAGGGAAGAAAAACUUGUGGGAAUAAUACCCCAUGGGCUUGACGGUACCUUUCCAGAAAGCACCGGCUAACUCCGUGCCAGCAGCCGCGGUAAUACGGAGGGUGCAAACGUUGUUCGGAAUCACUGGGCGUAAAGCGCGUGUAGGCGGCGCGUUAAGUCAGAUGUGAAAGUCCAGGGCUUAACCCUGGAAGUGCAUUUGAAACUGGCGUGCUAGAGUACGGGAGAGGGUGGUAGAAUUCCCGGUGUAGAGGUGAAAUUCGUAGAUAUCGGGAGGAAUACCGGUGGCGAAGG